rnacentral:lncRNA from 1 species
CACAAUAAUCCUUUCGGCCACGUAAACACCAGCUCUGCACCAACAAGCACAGCUUCACAAGAGUCUCAAUACCACCAAUACUGUCAGAAAGAGAUGUCCUGCCUUGUCCUAGCUCUGGGAGUCCCUCGGCGCCCCCUGUACCUAAAUCACGCUCCCGGAGAUCUCUGGCACAUUCCGCCCUGAGGUUCCAGCGGUUCAUAUGCUGACCACGCCAGGCUCCCUCGUCUCAGAACCUGCCCCCAGAGUGAGUUUCCAGCUGGCCUACUAGACCUACUAAGGUCGGUGCUUACUUUUUCCGGAACAAGACAUCCUGCGGAGUUCCAGCCCCAGGCCUGCAGGAAAUGGCAACCUCAGCCAGAGCCUCUGCAAUAGCGGGACCCCCUCCCUUCACAGGCCUCCCAGAAUGCAAUGGGCACCAGGUCAAAAGAAGUGGUGGGAAACAAGGUGAUUUCUGCCUUUCCUGAAGUGCGCAGGCGCAGGUGACGCCGCUCCUUUGUCGGAGGCCACGCCCACUGUUCCUUGACGGGAGCAGGCAGAAAGGAGGCAGGGCGCGUUACAACGGGCUCUUGCAACAACUUGCAGUGCUUUUUCGGCCCCAAAGAUUUAAAUUUCACGAUUCAAUGAGGCACAGAAAUUUCAUUUUAAAUCUGGAGGAGUCUUACUUAUUAAGGAAGAAGCAGGGAUCUCACAUCUUAGAUCACCUUCCACUCCUCGUCAAAACUGCCAUCACUCUUCUCACCUUUGCAAGAAAGCAUUUUUGA